UGAGUAACCUGCCCUUAACUCUGGGAUAAGCCUGGGAAACUGGGUCUAAUACCGGAUAUGACUCCUCAUCGCAUGGGUGGGGGGUGGAAAGCUUUAUUGUGGUUUUGGAUGGACUCGCGGCCUAUCAGCUUGUUGGUGAGGUAAUGGCUCACCAAGGCGACGACGGGUAGCCGGCCUGAGAGGGUGACCGGCCACACGUGGGACUGAGACACGGCCCAGACCUCCGUACGGGGAGCACG
rnacentral:rRNA from 1 species